rnacentral:rRNA from 1 species
CCUACGGGGUGCUGCAGUCGAGAAUCAUUCACAAUGGGGGAAACCCUGAUGGUGCGACGCCGCGUGGGGGAAUGAAGGUCUUCGGAUUGUAAACCCCUGUCAUGUGGGAGCAAAUUAAAAAGAUAGUACCACAAGAGGAAGAGACGGCUAACUCUGUGCCAGCAGCCGCGGUAAUACAGAGGUCUCAAGCGUUGUUCGGAAUCACUGGGCGUAAAGCGUGCGUAGGCUGUUUCGUAAGUCGUGUGUGAAAGGCGCGGGCUCAACCCGCGGACGGCACAUGAUACUGCGAGACUAGAGUGAUGGAGGGGGAACCGGAAUUCUCGGUGUAGCAGUGAAAUGCGUAGAUAUCGAGAGGAACACUCGUGGCGAAGGCGGGUUCCUGGACAUUAACUGACGCUGAGGCACGAAGGCCAGGGGAGCGAAAGGGAUUAGAUACCCCAGUAGUC